ACGAUCAUAACCCUCUUGUGCUUCUCACCCGCAUUGGACUUUCAAUCGGCGUGGUCUCGAGGCUAAGUCUCGCAAGGACAAGUCUUGCCAUCAGGGACAUCAAUGGAACACUGAAGAAACUUGUGAAGACCCAGUGAGGGUGGAGUAUAGCGGGGCAAGAGUGAGGUGGUGUUGGUCUAGCCCUACUGAGGAACACACUAUGGAGUAAAUACCAGCUCAGCAUUUCAAAUGCCAUUUGAUGGACUAAUUAAGAAUGACAAGCGGAAAGAAACGCUUUGAACGAAGUGAUGACAACUGGCUGGAGGACAAAGGCUCGGGAAAUAAGUAUGGUUGUCCCAAAAUUAAUACCAGGAAUAGGUUCAAAGGUCGUCCUGUGGACUUCAGACAACAGUGGAGAGGGUAUGUGGUUCGUAUCAGCGGUGGCAAUGACAAGCAGGGCUUCCUCAUGAAAUAAGGUGUCCUCACUAAUGGCCGUGUUAAGCUCCUCCUCAAGAAGGGGCACAGUUGUUACAGACCCAAACGCACUGGAGAGAGGAAACGCAAGUCAGUGAGAGGCUGCAUAGUGGACAGCAACCUGGUGUGCUCAAUCUAGUCAUCAUCAAGAAAGGUGGGUACACAACUCUGCUGAUUUAGAUGUACUCUGAUAAAGAGAAUUGAUUUUGUUAGGUGUAACUAUUGGGCAGGGUUUCAUAAUUAUAUACACAGUAUACUGCUGUCAAGCACACAAUCAAGUUGGGGCGUCACCAACUUGCCCUCGAUUGGUAGGUUCUUAUUUUCUUUUUCGGGUACUUUUACAAAAUUGUAAUGAGGUCAUUGUUACCCAGAGUGUCCCCUCAGAUCUGUGCCCGGCUCUACACUGUGUUCCGAUGGUGUCCUGGUGCUAAGAUGCGCUACAAGAGAACAGAGGUCUGCCAAUCAUGUGCCCAACUCAAGAACGUCUGUCAAACCUGUCUCCUUGGUGAGCCCUGUCACUAUAUAACCCCUAACUGUUGCUAUGGUGACACACAAUCAUCAGUACACUGCAUUCAAUACUUCCUAGAACAACUUUUUUCAAGUCAUGAAUUUGUAUAAAAAGUCUCACAGUAUAUCUCUCCAGGGUGUCAUACAGGGAAAUAAGAAAAGUAACUAGAAAAUGUUAAAAAAAGGUCAACUGUUAUUUCAAUACCCAGCUAUGGACACUCAGUCAUCAUUGAAAGGGGGGGAAAUUGGAGCUAGGGGGGAUAUCCCCCUUUCCCCCCCCCCUGUAUGACACCCUGCUCUCUGUUUCUAGUCUAAUAAAGGUCGCGUGUAGCUCUAAGGUCAGUGUGUAAGGUCAAGUUUCUUAGCUUUACUCGCUUUUAUUUGAGCAUUAAAAGUCUGUCACUCUUAAAACUAAUAACUUGUUGUGUGUAUGAGGGCUUUAACCGAAUAGCCGCGGUUAUGAUUUCAUACGUAGUACCGCCCACCGCGGAUCAGGAUCUCCUGGACUCCAACGGAAUUUUCAACCAGCCAAGGCCACAGCGAAGGAUCCUUUUAGAGGUAACUUCCUAGCAAACUAGUCUACAGCAGUUACUCGUCAGGAUCUCCUGGUUUCCAAUGGAACAGUCUACCAGCCAAUGCCACAGCGAAGAAUUAAUUCAGAGCAUUCGCCUCGGGCAAAGAAAGAUGCAACUAACUUUUAGGCAACUGCCUAGCAUUCUCUGUCGGGAUCUCCUGGUUUGGAACGGACCAGCCAAGGCCACAGCACUUCAUAGAUGGCAACGACCUCUGCGUACAUCCUGGUGGUGAAGAGGGAAGUGAGCUAUUCCUAGCGAUUUCAAGGGUGUCUUGCUCUUUUUGGAGCAGUAGUCGCCAAUUAGCUUCUUGGCCAACUCGUGACGAAAUGAGAGGAGGGUUUUCAGUGCGUUGGGCAUCUGUAGUACCCUCUGAGCUGAUCCCCUCUGUCGACACCCCCCAUGAAGUGAUUAUAGUCCUCGAUGCUCUGUGGCACGGGACGGAGAUUUUUUCGCCCGUCUUGACUGUACGUUGUACAGAGGUGACCGAAGUGGCGUCAGAGGCUGUGGAGAUCACACGGACAACCCUAUUGUCACUGAGACCGUCACCUUUUUCUUUCUGGAGAGUCAUGUAUUCCCCCCUGAAAAGGUAAAUAAUAAUUAUGCUUAUUACUUUCUGUCAGCUUUGGCUGCUUGAGAGCCUUGGGGAAGCCUCUGCGGUCAGCGCGAGCUGUACCACAAGUAUAAAUGCCAUCCUUCUCCAAGUCUUCUAACAGUUUGACAGACAUGAAAAAGUUGUCAAAAUAGACGUGGUGGUGCUUGCAUGUGCUUCAACGAGGCUGUGAGGUCUUUCACAACUCGUGCUCCCAGUUGCUUCUCUGGUGUGGCUUCUCUCCCUGUAUACACUUGUAGCAUGUGGAAGUACCCGUCUGCUAGGACCCAAACCUUGAUUCCUCUCUUCACAGGUUUAUUUGGGAGGUACUGUUUCAGUGCAGAUCUACCCUGAAACUUUAUCAUUGCCUCGUCUACUGCAACUUCACGGCCUAAGUUGUAUGCAGCAGAACAGCGCUCGUUGAUCUUAUUGAAGAGGGGGCGUACUUUGGCCAAACGAUCGCUACCUGGGGUGCCUGGAGUCGGGAGAGUGGUGUUGUCCGUGAAAUGGAGGUAUCGUCGGAUGUCCCUAAAGCGAUUGCGUGAGAUCUUCGAUGCAAUUGGUGAGUAGUAGAAUUGCACGUCUCUCCUCCAAUCAUUUUCAAUCGAUGGGAGUUUCACGAUCCCCAUGAAAAUGCAGAAUCCCAUGUAAGCCUUUAGCUCAGCAGUCGUGAGUGGGGUCCAUUUAUCAUGUUGUAGUGGGGUCAUCAUUUGCCUAGCGUAUCAAUUUGUCUCGGCUACUAUGUUAUCCAUUAUUUCAGUGGUAAAGAAAUGCUGGAAUAUGUCUAAGGGAGAACUUGAGAUGGAUACAGCUGGGCCUACAGAUUGGAUGAAGGCCUCUCGAGAAUGGUCAUGAAGGGUGGGAGUCCAAGGGCAGGUUUCAGGUGUGUGUGUGUGUGUGUGUGUGUGUGUGUGUGUGUGUGUGUGUGUGUGUGGCUUAGGCGAAUUUACAAAUGUUGUGUAGUAACCGAUUAUAACUUGUCUGUACUGUGUUGUGCCACUGGCGUAAAGGACAUUGUGUUAUUAUAAUGGUGUGCAACUCAUU